UCUUGCAGUUGUCUUGUUGGGUAUAUAGUGUUAGUGGUACUGCUUCCUGAGGCAAAGUUGCAGCUUUUUCAAAAUAAGACAGUAUGUAAGAUUAUUUUCAAAACAAAAGCAUUUAAUUAUUAUAUAAUAAGGCAUGGCUGUAUGGUUAAGAAGCCUGCUUUGCAACUAUAUGGCUUUGUAUCCAGUCUCACUGUGUGGCACUUUAGGCAAAUGUCUUCUAUUAUAGCUCAGGGCUGACCAAUGCCUUGUGAGCGAAUUUGGUUGAUGAAAACUGUGUAGAAGCUCAUUGUGUGUGUAUAUGCGGGCGGGCUUCUUUUUUUCUUAUCCCCUCUCGUUUGAUAAUCAGUAUUGAUUUUGAUGAACCGUUACGUGGGACGUAAACAAACGAUGUUCCUUGCAACUUAGCGCUUUGGAAAAAGAAACCGAUAGAAUAAGCUGAGAUUGAUUUGUUCGACUAAAAUCCUUCAAAGGUGUACCUCCAGCAUGGCCGCAGUCCAAUGACUGAAACAAGUAACGGAUAAAAGAUAUAUAUAUAUAUAUACGUAUAAGAAGGGGUGACCACUAAAUGGACAUCCAUUAUGCUAGAAAUAGACCAAUAAACUAGAUUAGGCACCCGAAGACAGCAAUGACCAUUUUAGCAGUCUAUUUCUAGCAUAAUGGAUGUCCACUUAGAGGUCAUCCCUUCUUAUACAUAUGCAAAACAAUUUUUCUGAAUUUUCAGAUUUUUCUUUAUGCUAGACCACUGAUUUUAAAUUGGUGUUAAUUAAAUUAAUAUCCAAUUUAUCACCCUUAUUAUUUAAAUUUAUAUAUAUCCGAUAAUAAAUAUAACACACACGGUAAGUGGUCAUUAAGAUGGGUUGCUAGGGCAAAACAAUGCCCUUGGUGGCCAUCUUAGCAAACUAGGUGAAGAGAUACAUAAUAGUGUCACAUACACCACUACAAUACAUUGCUAACACUAUUACACAUAUACCAAUGCACACACAACCACACCACAUACAUACACUACUUACAGGUCAUUAUAUACAUUUCCACUACACAUAAAUACACUCACUACGAUAAACAAAACUGCACAUACACCACUACAGACACAACACGUACAUACACAAUUACACGUGCAUUGCUACACACACAAUUACAAAUACUACGCAUACUACAUAUACACCAAUAUACACACGACUGCACAAACACAUUGUGUGCGGUCAGUAUUUGUUUCAGCCAAAACUGCUAAAAUGGUUACUGCUGUCUUCGGGUGCAUAAUCUAGUUUAAUGUUGAUUUUAACACCAGUUGCUUAAAUCUCAUCGAAGUUCUACCUUCCUUGAUUGUAAAUUGAGUGGGUGUGUUCGACCGCGUUGCCCGGCUGGUUGAAAACUGGGUCAAACGGUGUCAGCCGAAAUAGUCAUCUCUUCCUGUUUACACAGCCUCUGUUUAUACGGUCUGUAACGUUCGCGAAGGUCGCUUCGUAAUAUCUUUUAGUCUCUUUCAUUUCGUUGAUAUUUACUGUCGUAUCUAAAAAUAAAUCUUCAAGAUGAUGCGAAUGCAGAAGGACCGUGUCGACCCCGAAGAAGAGAAGAAGAAGGCCAGACAACAAACAAUGCAGACAGUAGCUUUCUUCGUGAUGGUGUGUGGUUUUAUACGUGCAAUUCCCAUCAUGAUGGAACGGUUCAAUUAAGUCUGGUUGAACAAGAAGACUAAAGAAACAUUUCUAGAAGAGACAGUUUGAAGACCUUAGAACAAAAUGAACUAGAUCUGCUGUUUGGUGCAGACCACAGUUAUGUCUUCAUAUGUUCAGCACCAAUCCAAAAUAUGGAAGGUGUGCAGUUUUCUGGAAUACGGUUGUAUCAUCAUAGCUUCUGUACUCCAACGAUGGAUGGUUUGGUGCAGUGUUGUGGGUUACAGUUUUCAUUCAUUAGAAGUCAUUCCAAACAUUAAAAAUACCUGUUAAUUAUGA